UCAAGCUACUAAGGGCAUACGGUGGAUGCCUAGGCGCCAAGAGCCGAAGAAGGACGCGGUAAGCUGCGAAAAGCCACGGGGAACUGCAAGCAAGUAUUGAUCCGUGGAUAUCCGAAUGGGGAAACCCGGCCAUCGUCAUGGAUGGUCACCCGCAAGGGAGGGAACCUGGGGAACUGAAACAUCUAAGUACCCGGAGGAAGAGAAAUCAAACGAGAUGCCCACAGUAGCGGCGAGCGAAGAGGGCAGAGCCCAAACCGAGAAGCUCCGGCUUUUCGGGGUUGAGGACCGGCAGAAUCGAAGUCAGGCCUAGUUGAAUUACCUGGAAAGGUAAGCGAGAGAGGGUAAAAGCCCCGUAGACGAAAGGCAGAGCAGAGAGGCCGAGAUCCAGAGUACCACGAAGCACGAGGAAUUUUGUGGGAAGCAGGGGGGACCACCCUCCAAGGCUAAAAACUACUUGGCGACCGAUAGCGCAUAGUACCGUGAGGGAAAGGUGAAAAGAACCCCGGGAGGGGAGUGAAAUAGUACCUGAAACCGUAUGUCUACAAGCAGUCGAAGCGAAAGCGACGGCGUGCCUAUUGAAGAAUGAACCAACGAGUUAUCUGCACUAGCGAGGUUAAGUGGAAGACACGGAGCCGUAGCGAAAGCGAGUCUUAAGAGGGCGCUAGUUAGUGUAGGUAGACCCGAAACCGCAGUGAUCUACCCAUGUCCAGGUUGAAGCGCAGGUAAAAUUGCGUGGAGGACCGAACCGGUGAGCGUUGAAAAGCUUUCGGAUGAGAUGUGGGUAGGGGUGAAAUUCCAAUCGAACGCGGAGAUAGCUGGUUCUCCCCGAAAUAGCUUUAGGGCUAGCCUGAGGUAGUAAGUAUAGGCGGUAGAGCACUGAUCGGGCUAGGGGCCGUAAAGGUUACCGAACCCUGUCAAACUCCGAAUGGAUAUACUGUAGAGCCUUGGAGUCAGACUACGAGUGAUAAGAUCCGUGGUCAAAAGGGAAACAGCCCAGACCACCAGCUAAGGUCCCCAAUGUCGUACUAAGUGGAAAAGGAUGUGGGGUUUCAUAAACAACCAGGAUGUUGGCUCAGAAGCAGCCACCAUUUAAAGAGUGCGUAAUAGCUCACUGGUCGAGAGACCCUGCGCCGAAGAUUCCCGGGGCUAAAGUACGAAACCGAAGCUGUGGCUGUAUACGUAAAGUAUACGGGGUAGGGGAGCGUUCCCAUAGGGUAGAAGUCGAACUGGAAGGUUCGGUGGACUUGUGGGAAGUGAGAAUGUUGGUAUGAGUAGCGAAAAGAAAGGUGAGAAUCCUUUCCACCGAAAGCAUAAGGAUUCCUGAGCAACGAUCGUCGUCUCAGGGUAAGUCGGGACCUAAUCCGAGGCAGAGAGCGUAGGAGAUGGACAACUGGUUGAUAUUCCAGUACCGGUAGUAAUUGUUUGAGCAAUGGAGUGACACAGAAGGGCAGGCAAGCAUGCGAAUGGAAGAGCAUGUGUAAGCGUGUAGGGUGGUGCAUAGGCAAAUCCGUGCACUGAAAGCCUGAGGCGUGAUGCGGAGUGAGCAGAGAUGCGAGCGAAGUUGUUGACCCCACACUGUCGAGAAAAGCUUCUAGUGAGAGAGCUACCGCCCGUACCGUAAACCGACACAGGUAUGCGGGGAGAGAAUCCUAAGGUGCGCGGGAGAACCCUCGUUAAGGAACUCGGCAAAAUGUACCCGUAACUUCGGGAUAAGGGUAGCCACUGUUGUGAAGUCCCAUGCGGAUGGAGCAUAGAGUGGUCGCAGAGAAGAGGCCCAAGCGACUGUUUACCAUAAACACAGGUGCCUGCUAAAGCGAAAGCUGACGUAUAGGUGCUGACACCUGCCCAGUGCCGGAAGGUUAAGGAAGGAUGUUCGGAGUAAUCCAAAGCAUUCGACUGAAGCCCCGGUGAACGGCGGCCGUAACUAUAACGGUCCUAAGGUAGCGAAAUUCCUUGUCGGGUAAGUUCCGACCCGCACGAAAGGUGU
rnacentral:rRNA from 1 species